rnacentral:rRNA from 1 species
AUGAGAGUAACUGUUCAUACGUUGACGGUAUUUAACCAGAAAGUCACGGCUAACUACGUGCCAGCAGCCGCGGUAAUACGUAGGUGGCAAGCGUUAUCCGGAUUUAUUGGGCGUAAAGAGAGUGCAGGCGGUUUUCUAAGUCUGAUGUGAAAGCCUUCGGCUUAACCGGAGAAGUGCAUCGGAAACUGGAUAACUUGAGUGCAGAAGAGGGUAGUGGAACUCCAUGUGUAGCGGUGGAAUGCGUAGAUAUAUGGAAGAACACCAGUGGCGAAGGCGGCUACCUGGUCUGCAACUGACGCUGAGACUCGAAAGCAUGGGUAGCGAACAGGAUUAGAUACCCUGGUAG